UCGACGAUUUUCCGGGUUGAUCCUGCCGGAGGCUACUGCUAUCGGGGUUCGAUUAAGCCAUGCGAGUUAAAUGUUCUUCGUGAACAUAGCGAACUGCUCAGUAACACGUGGAUAACCUACCCUUAGGACCGGAAUAACCCCGGGAAACUGGGGAUAAUACCGGAUAAGCCAUAGACGCUGGAAUGCCCUAUGGUUCAAAGCUCCGGCGCCUAAGGAUGGAUCUGCGGUCUAUCAGGUUGUAGUGGGUGUAACGUACCUACUAGCCGACGACGGAUACGGGUUGUGAGAGCAAGAGCCCGGAGAUGGAUUCUGAGACACGAAUCCAGGCCCUACGGGGUGCAGCAGGCGCGAACACUUUACAAUGCGGGAAACCGCGAUAAGGGAACCCCGAGUGCCAGCAUCAAAUGUUGGCUGUCCAGAUGGUUAAAAAUCAUUUGUUAGCAAGGGCCGGGCAAGACCGGUGCCAGCCGCCGCGGUAACACCGGCGGCCCGAGUGGUAGCCGUUUUUAUUGGGUCUAAAGGGUCCGUAGCCGGCCUGAUAAGUCCUUUGGGAAAUCUGACAGCUUAACUGUCAGGCUUCUAAGGGAUACUGUCAGGCUUGGGACCGGAAGAGGUAAGGGGUACUCCAGGGGUAGGAGUGAAAUCUUGUAAUCCCUGGGGGACCAUCUGUGGCGAAGGCGCCUUACCAGAACGGGUCCGACGGUGAGGGACGAAAGCUAGGGGAGCAAACCGGAUUAGAUACCCGGGUAGUCCUAGCUGUAAACGAUGCUCGCUAGGUGUCAGACACGGUGCGACCGUGUUUGGUGCCGCAGGGAAGCCGUUAAGCGAGCCACCUGGGAAGUACGGUCGCAAGGCUGAAACUUAAAGGAAUUGGCGGGGGAGCACUACAACGGGUGGAGCCUGCGGUUUAAUUGGAUUCAACGCCGGA
rnacentral:rRNA from 1 species